rnacentral:rRNA from 1 species
GACGAACGCUGGCGGCGUGCUUAACACAUGCAAGUCGAACGGAAAGGCCCUGCUUUUGUGGGGUGCUCGAGUGGCGAACGGGUGAGUAACACGUGAGUAACCUGCCCUUGACUUUGGGAUAACUUCAGGAAACUGGGGCUAAUACCGGAUAGGAGCUCCUGCUGCAUGGUGGGGGUUGGAAAGUUUCGGCGGUUGGGGAUGGACUCGCGGCUUAUCAGCUUGUUGGUGGGGUAGUGGCUUACCAAGGCUUUGACGGGUAGCCGGCCUGAGAGGGUGACCGGCCACAUUGGGACUGAGAGACGGCCCAGACUCCUACGGGAGGCAGCAGUGGGGAAUAUGGCACAAUGGGCGGAAGCCUGAUGCAGCAACGCCGCGUGCGGGAUGACGGGCUUCGGGUUGUAAACCGAUUUCGCAUGUGACGAAGCGUGAGUGACGGUAAUGGGUAAAGAAGCACCGGCUAACUACGUG